GUGGAGUGAAUGGACUCAAUUGGUGGCACCAAUGUAGAGCUGGCUCUAUGGCAGGGUCUGACUGGAUGGUGGCAGCACAGCAGUGACCUCACAACAAGCCCCAUGUUGGUAGCAGAGCAGGUGUCACAGGGCAAGACCAGGAAGCUGCAUAUCUGAAUAGGACCUGGUGGUGCAGACUUCACUGGACUACUGGAGUAGACAGGCAGAGGAAAGCCACCCUCUGAUGCCCGCCUGACUAUAACUGAGGCUAGCUGGCCUUGCAAGUGGAUUUUAGGACUGUCCCAUUUUUCAACUAUCCUGGAAAUCUGGAGCCUUCAAACUGGACACAUAAAGCUAUUUGUUUUGUGCUCAGCAGCAUCCCGUAUUCCUCCUCCCUAGCAGGGGGUGCUACUGCAGGGGAAUCCAUUCUCCCCAGGGGGCCUGAUACCAUACAUGGGACUAAAACAGGUCAGCCCCUGUGAACAGAGAGGAGAAUCACUACCUAAGUAAACAGAGCGUUUGAACACAGUAUAAAUUGAAAUUGACAGGCACAAUUUUCUGCAAGGAGAGUGGAAAUGUAAUGAGAAACUUGGUGCCAUGGAUAUUCUUCCAUGCAGAUAUUCCAGAUGCCAAAGGCCAUCUCUCUUCCAACACAUGCAAAUCUGGAUAAUGACUCCUUUGGACAACGUCCACUCCCAUUGACUUCAAUGGGCUUUGGAUUAGCCUUCCAGUGAAGAUAACCCAUGCUCACAUCAUGACUUGUAAGGAAUGAACUCAGCUACCACCAUUCUUCAACAUACACUGAACUUGGAAAGCAGCUCCGCAGGCCAGAAAAGACUUUUACUUCUUGGUGAGCAGCUAGCUCAUUGCUGCAGAGAUUUUAGUGCGGAUUCCCCCAAAACAGGAUUUGCAGCCUAUGAAAGUAAACUGGAAAUUUCCUUGUCUUCUAACAGUGUUCACAUUUUAAAUGUAUUACUGCAGGGCUAACGUUUGCCCUCAGUUACACCUACACAACUUCAUUAAGUCAAUGGAGCUGCACCUGAGGGCAGAAUUUGGUUCUAAGGCCCUGAUCUCGCAAUGAGCUCCAUGUAGGCAGAGCCCUAGUGAGCAGGAUUGGGACCUAUGGUUUGUAUUUUAAGCUCUUUGUCAAUAUGACGAUACUCCACUAGCUGCUCCACUGAGAAAUCCCUAAAUGCCAACCUCUAGAGAAAGUAUGAGAGGUCCCAGGCCACCUAGGCAGAUUGUCCUAAAAUGCCAUAAGCAGGGAGAAAGGAUGAAGAACUUCAGCCCACUCCCACUCAGACUGAUUCAGACAUGCUAAGUCCCAAAGAGAAAUCAUUCACCUAUGCAGACAGCUACUUAGAUACUGAGUCUGAAGAGAAAGCGAAAAGAAAUCACCGUUUGGGAACUUUCGGAAUUGUAGAGCAUUACCAAAAAGUAGCAUUUAACUCUGCAGAAUGGCACCCUUUAUUUCUGAUGGGGCAUUCUGAGCCACUUUUAUUCCCAUAAGCAGAGCUGCAUCUUGGGACAGGAUGUUGGUGUCAUGUGUGCAUAAGUGUAUGCACGCUUUUGCAUGUCCCUCUUUGAAAAUCUGGGCUUUGCUUUAGGUAUAAGUUAACGUUGCCGCGGGAUGUUUGUAAACAUUAAACAAUGUGUGUCCUUGCAUCAUCCUCAUCGAUAUCCUAACAUUUGCUUUGUCCUCCAGCAUGAGAUAAUUGUUGAUAUAAGGCUGCCAUAAACUGUUGCUGACGACUUGUGGGAUUAACGGGGCUGGGAAGAGAUGGCAAAGUAUUAGAUUUGUUCCUCAUUCUGGAUUAUAGUUUGAUCAAUUGUACUGUGUCAUGAAGGUCCACAUCAAUAUGAAAGUUCAGGAUUAAAUGAAGUGUAUACAGUAUUUUACAAUAUCAUCACUAGUACUUUUGUUAAUGGGCUUUGUUUUCUCUUCGAAUGAUCUUUGCAUUCACUGCUAGAUUGGAAAGGGCUGUUUUGACACUAUUUAUUGUUCUAAGCUAAAUGCUUCAGUAUUAGAAAUUGCCAGUGAUCUCUUUCAAUAAGGGAAUGGUGGA